UACGUAGGGGGCUAGCGUUAUCCGGAAUUACUGGGCGUAAAGGGUGCGUAGGUGGUUUCUUAAGUCAGAGGUGAAAGGCUACGGCUCAACCGUAGUAAGCCUUUGAAACUGGGAGACUUGAGUGCAGAAGAGGAGAGUGGAACUCCAUGUGUAGCGGUGAAAUGCGUAGAUAUAUGGAAGAACACCAGUGGCGAAAGCGGCUCUCUGGUCUGUAACUGACGCUGAGGGUCGAAAGCGUGGGUAGCAAACAGG
rnacentral:rRNA from 1 species